CAGAGGGUGCGAGCGUUGUCGGAUUACUGGGCGUAAAGCGCGCGCAGGCGGCCUUUUAAGUCUACCCGUGAAAUGCCGGGGCUCAACUCCGUGCACGCCGGGGAUACUGGGAGGCUGGAGACAUGUAGAGGCAAGCGGAAUUCCGGGUGUAGCGGUGGAAUGCUGGAGAUCCGGAAGAACACCUGAGGCGAAGGCGGCUUGCUGGGCAUGAUCUGACGCUGAGGCGCGAAAGCGUGGGGAGCGAACAGGAUUAGAUACCCUGGUAGUCCACGCCGUAAACGAUGGGCACUAGACGCGGGUGGGAUCGACCCCUUCCGUGUCGCAGCUAACGCGCUAAGUCGCCCCCGCCUGGGGAGUACGGCCGCAAGGCUG
rnacentral:rRNA from 1 species